rnacentral:lncRNA from 1 species
AGUCGCAACACAAGGGAUAUCAGAUAGCCAAUCGACUGUAAAACAAAACAAGUCAAAACUGGUAAGCCAAGCAGAAAUCCAAAAAAUGCGCAAAAUUCAAAAAUCUGAAUAAAAGUUCUAAGGCUGAGGAAGAAUACCUUUCGCAAUACGUCUCUUUUUCCUUUGGAUCAUCGUGCAGUCAAAUCCUGACCACUGCUGAUGACUAAGAGCAACAACCCUAAGAGAGUUCAGAAAUAAAUCUUCAGGAUAUGCGAUAUGCGAUAGUAUUGGGAUGAAUAACUUCAAAACAAAAAGAAGAAUGGUGAGUUAGAUUUCAAGCCGAGGAAUAAAUACUUAGCGUCAACAAUCUACCAAUUCUAGGACUCCAUAUGUGACGCUCCCGAUCGUAGAUGACCAGAAAUGACACGGUUGAUGCUCCCUGAAAGCCAAUCCAUGGUUCCCGAAUACUUCCGAGUUCCUUGGACUAGCAAUCUGAGAACAUCAACGCUCCUAUCAGAUAUCACUCAAGGCUUUUCAACCCGAUGAUGCAAUACCCGAUAGUUAGUUCGUCCCAGAUAAGAACUAAUAUCAUAUGGAACCCGUACUUUAAAAACAAUCUUUAUACAUUAUAUACUUAUUCAAAAGCAUCUUACAUAAAUGUUAAAGGUUAAACUCCAAAAAAAAUUAUACAUAGGAUAAAUCAAAACGACUUUUUAAGGAUAAUUAAACUACCUCUGUCUAAUGCUAUUUCUUCCCGUCCCAGAGUAAGGUCUCUUGCCUACUGGUCACAUGUAUCACAAAUGAGUCAUGAGUAACUAAUUUACUUAGUGAGUCUAAUCCUGCACCCCCAACACAUACAUUUAACAUCCCGAAGAAUUGACACUAUUUGAAUACAGUGGAAAUAUAUUCCAUAAUUAUUAUAAAUAUAUAUAUGACCUAUUUCCAUCUAUGUGAAUCUUAUCUUAACAUCACCUCCAUAACACCCGC